rnacentral:rRNA from 1 species
GACGAACGCUGGCGGCGUGCUUAACACAUGCAAGUCGAACGGAAAGGCCCUGCUUUUGUGGGGUGCUCGGGUGGCGAACGGGUGAGUAACACGUGAGUAACCUGCCCUUGACUUUGGGAUAACUUCUGUAAACUGGGGCUACUACCGGAUAUGACCUCCUGCUGCAUGGUGGGGGUUGGAAAGUUUCGGCGGUUGGGGAUGGACUCGCGGCUUAUCAGCUUGUUGGUGGGGUAGUGGCUUACCAAGGCUUUGACGGGUAGCCGGCCUGAGAGGGUGACCGGCCACAUGGCGACUGAGAUACGGCCCAGACGCCUACGGGAGGCAGCAGUGGGGAAUAUUGCACAAUGGGCGGAAGCCUGAUGCAGCAACGACGCGUGCGGGAUGACGGCCUUCGGGUUGUAAACCGCUUUCGCCUGUGACGAAGCGUGAGUGACGGUAAUGGGUAAAGAAGCACCGGCUAACUACGUG